GAUGAACGCUGGCGGCGUGCUUAACACAUGCAAGUCGAACGGUGAAGGCGGAGCUUGCUCUGCUGGAUCAGUGGCGAACGGGUGAGUAACACGUGAGCAAUCUGCCCCUGACUCUGGGAUAAGCGCUGGAAACGGCGUCUAAUACUGGAUACGAGCUGCGAAGGCAUCUUCAGCAGCUGGAAAUAAUUUCGGUCAGGGAUGAGCUCGCGGCCUAUCAGCUUGUUGGUGAGGUAAUGGCUCACCAAGGCGUCGACGGGUAGCCGGCCUGAGAGGGUGACCGGCCACACUGGGACUGAGACACGGCCCAGACUCCUACGGGAGGCAGCAGUGGGGAAUAUUGCACAAUGGGCGAAAGCCUGAUGCAGCAACGCCGCGUGAGGGACGACGGCCUUCGGGUUGUAAACCUCUUUUAGCAGGGAAGAAGCGAAAGUGACGGUACCUGCAGAAAAAGCGCCGGCUAACUACGUG
rnacentral:rRNA from 1 species